GACGAACGCUGGCGGCGUGCUUAACACAUGCAAGUCGAACGGAAAGGCCCUGCUUUUGUGGGGUGCUCGAGUGGCGAACGGGUGAGUAACACGUGAGUAACCUGCCCUUGACUUUGGGAUAACUUCAGGAAACUGGGGCUACUACCGGAUAGGAGCUCCUGCUUCAUGGUGGGGGUUGGAAAGUUUCGGCGGUUGGGGAUGGACUCGCGGCUUAUCAGCUUGUUGGUGGGGUAGUGGCUUACCAAGGCUUUGACGGGUAGCCGGCCUGAGAGGGUGACCGGCCACAUUGGGACUGAGAUACGGCCCAGACUCCUACGGGAGGCAGCAGUGGGGAAUAUUGCACAAUGGGCGGAAGCAUGAUGCAGCAACGCCGCGUGCGGGAUGAAGGACUUCGGGUUGUAAACCGCUUUCGCCUGUGACGAAGAGUGAGUGACGGUAAUGGGUAAAGAAGCACCGGCUAACUACGUG
rnacentral:rRNA from 1 species